UGCUCACGUCCAGUUUAAUCUGGUGGAUGU
rnacentral:piRNA from 1 species